GACGUAGGGGGCGAGCGUUAUCCGGAUUUAUUGGGCGUAAAGGGCGCGUAGGCGGCCCCCAGCAGUGGCGCGUGUAAUCCCCCGGCUCACCCGGGGGGGGCCGCGCCAGACGGGGGGGCUUGAGGGGGGAAGAGGGCCACGGAACGGGCGGAGUAGGGGUGAAAUCCGUAGAGACCGUCCGGAACACCGAUGGCGAAGGCAGUGGCCUGGGCCCCUCCUGACGCUGAGGCGCGAAAGCGUGGGGAGCGAACGGAAUUAGAUACUCCGGUAGUCCACGCCCUCAACGAUGGCCGCUCGGUGUCGGGGGUAUCGACCCCCCCGGUGCCCCAGCUAACGCGGUAAGCGGCCCGCCUGGGGACUACGGCCGCAAGGCUAAA
rnacentral:rRNA from 1 species